rnacentral:rRNA from 1 species
UAUGAGAAACGGCUACCACAUCUAAGGAAGGCAGCAGGCGCGUAAAUUACCCAAUCCUGACUCAGGGAGGUAGUGACAAGAAAUAGCAAACCGGGAACCUCAUGGUUUCACGGUAUUGCAAUGAGAACAAUUUAAAACCCUUAGCGAGAAUCAAGUGGAGGACAAGUCUGGUGCCAGCACCCGCGGUAAUUCCAGCUCCACUAGCGUAUAUUAAAGUUGUUGCAGUUAAAAAGCUCGUAGUUGAACCUCUGUCUGGGGCUAGUUUUGGCUUUGGUCAGGCUAGUUCUAGGCAUCCGCCUACAAGACUUAGAGGGCAUUCAGUUGUUCACUAGGAGGAGUAGGCAUUUUACUUUGAAAAAAUUAGAGUGUUUAAGGCAGGCAAUCGCCCGCAUAUAUUAGCAUGGAAUAAUAGAAUAGGACACUUUUCCAUUUCGUUGGUUAUUGGAAUCGUGUAAUGAUUAAUAGGGACAGUUGUGGGCAUUUGUAUCUAAUUGUCAGAGGUGAAAUUCUUGGAUUUAUUAAAGACAAACUAACGCGAAAGCAUUUGCCAAGGAUGUUUUCAUUAAUCAAGAACGAAAGUUAGGGGAUCAAAGACGAUCAGAUACCGUCCUAGUCUUAACUAUAAACUAUUCCGACUCAAUGUUUGACUGGCUUAUAUAACCAGUUGAGCGUUGUAUGAGAAAUCAAAGUCUUUAGGUUCUGGGGGGAGUAUGGUUGCAAAGCUGAAACUUAAAGGAAUUGACGGAAGAGCACAACCAGGAGUGGAUUCUGCGGCUUAAUUUGACUCAACACGGGGAAACUUACCAGGUUAAAACAAUAGUGGGAUUGACAGUUUGAGAGCGCUUUCUUGAUUGGUUGGGUGGUGGUGCAUGGCCGUUCUUAGUUGGUGGAGUGAUUUGUCUGCUUAAUUGCGUUAACGACGAGACCUUAACCUGCUUACUAGACUGGCGAUCAUCAAUCGUUAGCUCUUCUUAGAGGGACUUUGGUUGUUUUAACUCCAAGGAAGUUUGAGGCAAUAACAGGUCUGUGAUGCCCUUAGAUAUCCUGGGCCGCACGCGUCAUACAAUGACUAGUUCAGAAAGUUUUCUCCUGACCCGAAAGGGGAUGGGUAAUCUUGAUAAUACUAGUCGUGUUAGGGAUCGAUCUUUGCAAUUAUAGAUCUUGAACGAGGAAUUCCUAGUAAGUGCGGUUCAUCAGACCGUACUGAUUACGUCCCUGCUCUUUGUACACACCGCCCGUCGCUUCUACCGAGUGGGUGGUCCGGUGAGAUAAUUGAACUUCGCAGGUAACUGAGAGGAAAGAUUAUCAAACCUAUCCACCUCGAGGAAGAAGAAGUCGUAACAAGGUU